rfam:Ictidomys tridecemlineatus contig098402, whole genome shotgun sequence.
GGGGUUGUAGCUCAGUGGUAGAGCACUUGCCUAGCAUGUAUGAAGCAUUGGGUUUGAGCCCCAGCACCA